CUCUGGCACAGUAUGUAGGCAAUACGCCUUAAUGCUGGCAUAGUUUAUAUAUACAUCCAUUUUCAGAUGCUUUGACUCUGACUGAUGUAAAAGUACUCUAUUGUAAAUGAGAUUCAGGCCCUCAAAUCUGAGCGAGAAUGUCACCCUAGAUCCUAAACUGGCUUCUCUAUGUAUUUUGUAUCUCUCUCUCUCUCUUUUCUAGCUUAGCAGAUGAAAGAAAACAAUCUCUCAUCCUAAGGAAAGAGGAGAGCUAUGGGCAGACCACACACAUCAACCACACUCUUCUCUCUCCGCUGUCUCCUCAGCCGUUCAUGUGGCAAAGGUGUUAUGUAGGCUAACACAUGCAAAGCUGUGCGCACAGUGCUUGCAAGGCAUCAGUGGGCCCAUGAAAAUGAGCUUCCCACCACUUGCUGUGCUAUGCUAGCUGGCUUGAUUUGUCGCAUUCACCAUUGAAUAAUGCUGGUGCCUGCCUAUGGAGGUAUGGUAAGUCUGUUGAGUUUUUUCCCCCUCUCUCUCCCCACAUCCCCCGACCCAUA
rnacentral:lncRNA from 1 species